AUCAUGUAAAUAUAUAGGUAAUACUAUUUUAAUGCCUUUACAGGUCUAAAAUCGCCUUGCCAGUUUAGGUAUUAAAAUAGUAGCUCGUUUUUAAGUUACCUUAGAAAACAGUUUAUUUAGACAAGCAGUACAAAUGCACCACAGAACAUAAAUCUGUUAAAUUACUUUUCACAGUUUUCUCAUCCUGUUACAAGCUGCCGAUGUUUCCUACUGAGCACGGCUUUGGCCCUGAGACGGUGAGCAGAGUAAGGGCCAGGCUAUGCGGGAUGCAGCUUUGUGUUCACAGCACCGUGGGCUCUGUUAGAACCCAAUAAACAGUCACUGACUUACAUGAAUGUAUUGGAAGUCUAAUUUUUAAGGUUGUCAACUAACCACAGUUCCUGCUUUCUGUACGACUUCAUUUUUAUCAUCACAAGGGAAGAUAAGGUGCAGUGGCAACCCUGGGUACACUCAUAGCCACUCUUCGAUCACUUGCCCUUGACAGACAUCAAUAAUCAACCACAGCAUCUUCCUCAGAUUGUUCCCCACACAGGCCUCCAGGAAGUCACGGCAGCUGCCUGGGGGCAGCUACGCUGUUGGCAGGAGUGGCAACAAUCUAUAGAAUGGUUCUAGCUUGGCUCAACCACUAACUAGCUACUAAACCAGCUCAAUGACUUGGAAUGAAUCAUUGCCCUCUCUUGGCCUCAGUUUCAAUUAUGAUAUGAGUGGUUUGGACUCAUAUUGGAUAUCGAACAGACCAUUAAAUUACUUUUGAAAAAUAAAGGUCUGUAAAAUUGGCACAAGUUUCUUUUUCUGUGAAGAUGUGCCAGUCAGCCAACACAUAAAAUAUGUUUGAGCUGAGGACAACGUAUAUUGAAAAUAUAUUUUCAACAUCAAGUUCUUGAUGUAUGGUGGUAAUACCACUCUCCUGUCUGGCCCCAUCUACCUUACCUCCCGCCUGCUCCCCCACAAACUCACUUGCAGCCACACUGGAGACUCUGCACACCUGCAGGGAACCCCUGCUCUUCACCUCCCACACUCAUUAGCAACUUCUACCACCACCCGGGGCCCUGGGAAAUCUUUGUGCUUGCUGGGCACUGUGCAUCUUUCCUUGGAGCGCCUGGCCGGUCACAUCAUUUCUUACACCGCUCUGCUCCCGGGCCUUGUGCUUCUCGAGGUCAGAGAUGAGUUCUUUUCAUCUCUAUAGCCUUCAGGCCUACACAUAGUAGGGGCCUGAGGUAGGUGUUCUGAAGGAGUGGGCCUCCCCACUGAUGCAUAUAAAGUCCAAGGGCAGCAUUCAUCAGGUAAUAAACUCGUAUAGGUCUUUCACUUUGUUAACUUUCUUUGGAAUGUCUAAGAAAAAAAAUAUUCUCAAAUAGUUGAUUUUAUUUGAGCCAUUUGGUAAGGUUCUCUGAAAAAGUGCUCCUGUGUGAUUCACAUGUGGGGGCUGGUGGGGUGUGACAUAAAUAUCUUCCUAUGUGGUAAUCUGGAGACAUCACGCUCGGAGAGCAAGGACAUGGAGCAAUAUGAACGUACAUUUGGCUGGCUAUGUGAAGAUACCUGAUAUUCCAAAUUGUUGCAGCUUCUCUCUCUUUUGAAGACCUUGAAAUAAGCAGCGAAGUCCCCAUUUUCUGAACUAUUUCCAUGGAGUUGGGUGUAGUACACAGAGGUCUCACAGCAUUUAGCAAUUAAUGACUUUUGCAGUCUCAUGGGUCAUAGCCAGCUUCCUCAGUCAGAAUGAAUUCUUUGAGGACAAUACCAAUAAAUCUGGUUCUUUCUGUAUAUCCCAAGGUGCCAAGUGUGCAGCAGGUGCUUAGUCAAUGCAUAGUGAACACACUGCAACAUGUAAACCAUGUAAGCCUCCUCUUGGCCAGGGUCUUCUGCAGACAUGGCACCAAGCACAGUUCUAGAAUCAUUAUGGUAGAACUGCAUACAUUCUUUACUUGGCUGAUGCACAGGAAAGUGACCACAGAAAGGCGGGUGUGUUGAUCUGGCAAGACCUCGUGAAUAAGUGAGAACACUGGGGAUUUCUCAGAUUCCACCUUCUAGUGAGCCAAGACCUGAUGGUGAUGGCAACUCACCAUGUGCCAAGAAUUGCUGUAAAUAUUUCAUAUACAUUUACUCUUUAAAUGUUGGCUGAAUUGAGUACUAGGAGUGUUUUGUCCAUUCCAGGCAACUGAGUUGUUAAUCAAAGAAAGCGUCACCAGGUGGCAGUUGGCAAAAGCAGGAAAUGCCAGCACAAGUAUGGGGUGGAGGUGGGCUCCUGAGGUCCCUGCAUCUGUGAGCCCACAGACCAUGGGACUGCUGUUUCCGAGCACGUUUGCUGGGUGCCUGCUCCUAAGGCAGUAACAGGACUUCCAGGUCUCUGGCAGCAGAUCAGGUGGUUGCACAGCUAGGAGACUCGCUUCUGUCCCCACCUAGUUUCUCUCCAAGGGCAAGGGCAUUGCAGCAAGAAGCAACCCAGACUGCCUGAUAGUCACUCUGGGCUCUGGAGAGCCCCCUCUCCGGAACUGUCUCUGGGAGCUACAUCAGGUAACAGCCUGGCCAAAUCGACACAUCCACUGCCGUGCAAGGGAGAGAUCCGCCUGUCCCUACUGACUGCCUCUGGGGACCAGCAGCCUCAGCAUCACCUAGGAGCUGGUUAGUGGGACAGACUCUCAGGCUCCACCCAGACCUAUGUACUCACAACCCCCAAUGGAACAAGAUCCCCAGGUGAUUCCUCUGCGUGUCAAAAUUUGAGAAUCACUGUAUUAGGGUGGUUAUUCCCAACUCUGGUUGCACAUCACAAUCACUUGGGGACGUUUUAAAGCUCCAGCCCAUUUCUGGCAGUGUGACCCAGGUGUCAGUAUUUUCUUAGUGAUUUCAAAUGUAGCCAGGGUGGAGAACCACUAUCCCAGAGGUGAAUCAAGACUUCUGAGAGCAGGGACGCCUGGGUGGCUCAGUGCUUGAGCAUCUGCCUUCAGCUUAGGUUGUAAUCCCAGGGUCUUGGGAUCAAGUCCUGCAUCGAUCUCCCUGCAGGGAGCCUGCUUCUCCCUCUGCCUAUGUCUCUGCCUCUUUCUCAUGAGUAAAUAAAUAAAAUCUAAAAAAAAAAAGACCUCUUAAUGCAGCCCUCAUGUCAUUAGGUGAGCCUGCAGGUGAGACACAUAACCCCUGUGUAAGGACACAGUACUCUCCCACAAGGACAAGGAACUGCUCCAAGUCUAGUUCUUGUACCAUCCAGGCAAUUGAAGUGUUCACGGCCUCCAGCGUAGCCUGGUCCAUGGCCUUGUGGUGGGAGUUGGGCACACGGCAUCACUAGUUGGGGGAAGAGGGCUCUUCACAUUGGUCCAGCCCUCUUCUGAGGUGCCUCUUACAAUACAGGCUUAGGGCAGCCCAGAAGACUGACCCCUGCACCUCCCCCCCACCACCCCACACACACACACUCAUGGCUGGGCUGCACUCAGAAGGGCUGGAAAACCAGACUUCUGGAGGAAGGGACAGCCUGCUUUCCAGCCCCCAGGUGAUUGCCAGGGAACACUUGGGGCAAUGCAUCUAAAGCACAAACUGGGGGUGGGGGGGGGCACAUGGCUCUGCACCCAAGGCCACAGCCUCCACUAGCUAAAGGGUUUUAAGUUCCAACAAAGGAAAAUAGGACUGUGGCCUCUUAGGAACAGAAACCCAUGCAGCAGGGGAAGGUGAAGACCAUUCAGGCCGCAUGCUAUUUUCAAGUGGUUGGCAGGGGCAGCAAUUCCACUCCUGGGCAUGACUGAACACAGAGGUGCAGCAGGGAUACAAACUGUGUGCGCUCAUGGACUUAGUAAGAACCUACCGAAGUCUGAUUCUUAAUACAUGGUGUGGCCCGAGGCAGGAGCUACAGCUAUGGCCCAGGUCAACGUAGUUCCAGACCCUGGCAAGAGUGGCUGCUGCAGGGACAGGCACGAGACUUAUUUCAGGCCAAAGAGAGACUCAGAGCUUUUAUGGAACUGUUGAAAAUAUUUGUCUGCUGGGACCGGAAGGAUGUGAGCCUAGAGAGGAAAGAAGCACCAAGACAUGAAGAGAGAAAAGCAAAUGCACCCAGGUGCUCCGUGUAGAGUUCUGGAUCCAGCCGUUCCUAAAGUCAGAUUUCCAUGCUGUUCCAGCUACAUGAGCCACAAAGUCGGCUGUCUUUUUAAAUGACAGACAAGCCUUUGCAAGCCUUAUUUACAAAAGAAAGAGUCCCAACUAAUUCUCUGAGCAAACAGGGGCUGGAUAAGUGAUGUCAAACUAUUUGAACCUCUGAAGUCACAGACAGUCUUCAUUUGGCUCCACUUUUAGAUCCGCAGGACAAGGGGGUUUGGUAGACUUUCAAGACAGUUGUACCAGGACAGGUUGGGACAAAUGAUAAAGCAGGUAUCAGCAGACCGUGUUCCUUGUAGAUCUGCAUGGGGCAAAGGCAUGACCCCUCUGUGUUAGGGUCAUCAAAGAACAGCUCAGUCGCUGGCAGAAUAAGCCAACUCUAAGCUCUGUGCCCAUUCCCUGCAUGUGCCCAUUGCAUCCUGAUGGCUUCACCUCUUCCAUCUGGUGGAAAACCAUCUGGCGAAGGAUGAAGGGCAAGGGCCUUAACAGUGACACAAACUUAGGUGGACCCAGGUAGUGGCAGCAAGAUUCUUGGUUGGAAAGUCACAAAGGGGGUUUAGGAAAGCAAGGCUUAUUGUGUCAUGUGGCAUCCUGAGCCCCAGUAGGAGCAGGGCAGCCGAAUAACUCCUGUGUUAUUUGGCAGGGGUGGCCUGGGGUAGAGCAGGCCACCAAACCCAAAGAGACGACAACAAGGAAAGCCUUGGUGCCAACCCACAGUGAUUGGCACAGAAGAUGGAGAAUAGAGGUCUUGAUGGGCCAAGCAGAUAUAACAGGGUGCCAGCACCAGCAGUAUUUCUCCCAUCCAGAUACCAAGCACCACAGGCCACCUCUCAGAACACAGAACACAGAUGCUAUUCACGGUUGCUGAGGGCUGGAAGGAACACCACACUGGCUGAGACUGAGAUCGGUGGCCAAGCACCCCUGGGAGCUCAAAGCAGAAAAGAAACUGAGUUGUAGUAAAAACAAGUUGUUUCUCAGGUGCAGACACUGGUGGCCUUGAGACCUGCACUUGGGAGCCCGGCCUGGGGCAGCAGCAGUUGCACACUGCUCCCACUGGCCCACAACACGUUGGGGAGACUGCAUUUGUACGAUGCCAACACAACGUGCAACUUGCAUGAAGAACCAGAGGUGAUACAAUUCGACAUCGAAAUAGAGAGAGGCGCACUCGUGGUGAGCACCGCGUGACGUAUGGAAGUGGUGAAAGGCUAUACUGUGCACCUGAAACUAAUACUACACUGUAUGCCAAGUGGAAUUAAAAUAAGAACUUUUUAAAAAAAUCCACAAAAAAAAUAGAGGGAAAAAGCUGGGCCUGAGUAGAACAGAAAGAGCACCAAGGCGCUGUCUGCACUGGAGUCCUGGCUGUCACUUUCCCAGCCUGGCCUCAGUUUCUCACUUCUCACAAGAACUGUCACACAGGCUGUUGUGAAGGACAGAACGAGGUGAUGUAAUGCACAGAGGAAGUAUGGGAGCUAAUGGGAGGGAUCACUGCUCACUGUUAUUUUUGGCAUCUCUCAGAAUGCAGCACAUGGGCGCCCACCCACACCACCUCCACACACAAGGCCUGCUCUGGCUGUCCCGUCCCUAAGUCCCUGGGAUGUGGAAAUAGUGCCGCCCACGGGAGAUGAUCUGUGGCUGGGGAGCAGCCCGUGCGGGGAGGGAAGGGUGGUAACCCCACGGGUGCAGGAUGGAGACAGGGUGUCUGUGUCACAGGGUGCACAGGGUGCACCUGGAGACACAGGCCAGCAGAGGGCGUGAGGGGACCCGCGGGGCAGGAGCUGGUGCUCGGCAGCAGACACCUGCCUGCCGCCGCCUGCCAGGGACUGAGCAGCACUGAAGGGGGCGAGCGUGCAGCGGCAGCAAAUUCCCUGCACCAGCCAGAGGACAGAGGCCGCAGAGCUCACAGAGCUAGGCGUGGGGCUCAGCGCAGACGGACAGGGCACCACAACGGCUGGCCGGAGCCAGGGACCCAUCACAAGCUCAUGUGCUGGCCUUAAGCGAAGAAAUGUGCAGGGUUGGAAGCAGGGGGAAGGGAUGUAAGGUGGGAGGUGACCUGAAUGCCACCCUCUCCCACAAUGACUGACAGCCAGCUUGCCUGGCCACACCACCAGGACAGCCCUGCCUCUUCAGUGCAGCUGAGGAAAGAACAAAGCAGGGAUGAUACUCUGAUCCCCACCUGCAGGCACUUGAAAAAUGGGAGGGUGAACCUGAGCUUUCUAGAGACUGGUUGCCCAGUCCUCAAACCCCAGAAACAAGAGACCAUAGAGUUGGCUUCACCUCACAAGGAGGAUAGUGAGACGGCUCCUGGCACAGAAAGGCACAAGAGGGUGGGAAGGGUGUCUGUGUCCAUUAGGCAUCUGUCCUACAGGAGCAUCAGAAGGAAGCUGAAGCCCUAGAACAGGGGCUGCACUUUACGGAGAUGAUUCCAUCAAGACAGUCACUGAAAUCCGUCGCUGGACAGUGAAUUCAGUGACUGAAUUCUCCAGCAACUGGAUGAAAGGGCUCAGUUAGCAUGGCGUCUUACCUCCAGACUAGGAUAUCAUCACCCUACACACCAGGGAUGUAAAGGCCUUCAAUUCCAUGCUAAGGAGCUGCUAAACCCCGAUGAUGGUGGGAAGAACUGCCUUUUUUUAUUGUGGUAAAACAUGUAUCAGGUGCAUUUUUUUGUUUCUUAGCAAAAAUAAAAGCCAAAAGCCACAGUGAUGCUAUGGGAAGAAUAUUUACAGUUCAGAAUCAAAUAAUGACUACAAAAAUAUGGCUGACAGUGUGAUAAGAGUUACAAAAAGUUAUCUCAGUAAAGCUGCAUUAGGAAGAACUGGAAAUGCAGAUGAAGAUAGGGCCUUUAGAAGCUCAGAAUUUGGGACGCCUGGGUGGCUCAGUCGGUUAAGCCUCUGCCUUCGUUUGGCUCAGGUCAUGAUCGCAUGGUAAGACACAGAGGGGCAGAGGGAGAAGCAGACUGCCCGCUGAGCAGGGAGCCUGAUGCAAGUUUCUCUCCCUCCCAGGACCUGGAAAUCAUGAGCUGAGCUGAAGGCAGACACUUAACUGAGCCACCCAGGAGCCCCUCAAAAUACUUCUAAUAAUAAAAGUGUAAGCAGGUGAUAUUAAUAAAAAUGGUGGACUAAGGGCCUCCAAAAAAAAUCUUUCAUCUAUAAAAGCAACGAGAAAACCAGGGGGGCGGGGGGGGGGGAGUUAGAAUCAACUUUGUCACAACUCUGGCUAUUAACCAAAGGCUUGCAGCACUCCAGGAAGCAUUAAUCAAGAGACACAGCUAAAUCUUAGUAUGAAGUGAGCAUUUUAACCUUCCUUAUUCCAACCCUCUGCCCUCGAGCUCCAUGGUAGCCUUGAAAGCCAACAGCGUCACAAUUACUCUGUAAAUCAGUAGUCUGGCAGUCACUAGAUGGGGGAGAACCAAGUUGAACUUCAAGGCUCUGUUCCCAGAGAACUGUCAUUCUACCCUUCUGGUGGCUCCCUGGAAAACCCUAAUCUAUCCUGAGUCAGAGCUCCCUCAGUGUGAAAAGCCUUUUCUCUUCCACUGAGGUAUUUGUUGAAAACAAUUAAAGGCAAAUAUUUACAUUAAAUUAAGAUGCAUUAAAUGGUUCAAAUAAAAGAGACUGACAGGAUACAUUUUUUUAAUGCUCCAAAUAUAUGCUGUCUAUAAGAGACACAAUUUAAGUUCAAAGACACAAAUAAGUUGAAAGUGACAGGAUGGAAAAAAGAUAUGCCAUGCAAACAACUAAAACAGCUGGGGUACCUCUACUAAUACCAGACAAAACCGACUCCAAGACAAAAAUUACUAGAGACAAUGUAGGAAAUUGUGUAAUAAUAGAGUCAAUCAAUCAAGAUUUAACAAUUAUAUACAUAUGCACCUAAUAACACAGCUUCAAAAUACACAGAGCAAAACUAACAAGAGUUGAAGGAAGAAAUAGGCAAUUAGGCAGUAAUAGUUGGGAGUCUUCUAUGUUCCAUCUCAAUAAUUAUGGAACAACUAGACGAUCAAAAAAGAAACAGAAGACUUCAAUACACGAUAAACUGACCAGGUCUAACAGACCAGAACACGCACUCAGUAACAAUAGCAUACACAUUCUUCUCAAGGGCACGUUGAACAUUCUACAAAGUAGAAUAUUUUUUAGGCCAUAAAACAAGACUCAAUAUAUUUUAAAAGAUUAAAAUUAUACAAAGUAUGUUCUCCAACCAAAACAGAAUUAAAUUAGAAAUUAAUAACUGAGGGAAAUUUGGGAAACUCACAAUGUCUGGAAUAAAUUAAGUAACAAACUUCUAAGCAACAAUAGGUCAAAGAAAAAAAUCAUGAGACAUAGAAAAUACUCUGAGAUUAGUAAAAACAAAAAGAGGCUAUAGCUAAAACAGUGUUUACAGAAAAUUCAUAGCUGUAAAUGCCUAUAUUUAAAAGGAAGAAAGAUCUCAAUCAAUAGCCUAAUAAACCACCUCAAAUUUUAUUAUUUUUAUUUUUAUUUUUUUACUUUUUUUCCACCUCAAAUUUUGAAAAGAGCAAACUAAACUGAAAGCAGGAGGAAAAAAAUAAUAAAGAUUAGAGAAGAAAUUAAUGAAAUUGAGACUCGAAAAACAAUACAGAAAAUCAACAAGAGAAAAAAUUGGUUCUUUGAAAAGAUCAACAAAAUGAAAAAACUUUUAGCUAGACUGACCAAGAAAAAAGGAAAAAAAAAAA
rnacentral:lncRNA from 1 species